UACGUAGGGUGCAAGCGUUGUCCGGAAUUAUUGGGCGUAAAGAGCUCGUAGGCGGUCUGUUGCGUCGGCUGUGAAAACCCGGGGCUCAACUCCGGGCCUGCAGCCGAUACGGGCAGACUAGAGUUCGGCAGGGGAGACUGGAAUUCCUGGUGUAGCGGUGAAAUGCGCAGAUAUCAGGAAGAACACCCGUGGCGAAGGCGGCUCUCUGGAACGCAACUGACGCUGAGACGCGAAAGCGUGGGGAGCAAACAGG
rnacentral:rRNA from 1 species